GGGCGUAAAGAGCUCGUAGGUGGUUUGUCGCGUUGUUCGUGAAAUCUCACGGCUUAACUGUGAGCGUGCGGGCGAUACGGGCAGACUUGAGUACUGCAGGGGAGACUGGAAUUCCUGGUGUAGCGGUGGAAUGCGCAGAUAUCAGGAGGAACACCGGUGGCGAAGGCGGGUCUCUGGGCAGUAACUGACGCUGAGGAGCGAAAGCGUGGGGAGCGAACAGGAUUAGAUACCCUGGUAGUCCACGCCGUAAACGGUGGGUACUAGGUGUGGGUUUCCUUCCUUGGGAUCCGUGCCGUAGCUAACGCAUUAAGUACCCCGCCUGGGGAGUACGGCCGCAAGGCUAAAACUCAAAGAAAUUGACGGGGGCCCGCACAAGCGGCGGAGCAUGUGGAUUAAUUCGAUGCAACGCGAAGAACCUUACCUGGGUUUGACAUGCACAGGACGCCGGCAGAGAUGUCGGUUCCCUUGUGGCCUGUGUGCAGGUGGUGCAUGGCUGUCGUCAGCUCGUGUCGUGAGAUGUUGGGUUAAGUCCCGCAACGAGCGCAACCCUUGUCUCAUGUUGCCAGCGGGUAAUGCCGGGGACUCGUGAGAGACUGCCGGGGUCAACUCGGAGGAAGGUGGGGAUGACGUCAAGUCAUCAUGCCCCUUAUGUCCAGGGCUUCACACAUGCUACAAUGGCCGGUACAAAGGGCUGCGAUGCCGCGAGGUUAAGCGAAUCCUUUUAAAGCCGGUCUCAGUUCGGAUCGGGGUCUGCAACUCGACCCCGUGAAGUCGGAGUCGCUAGUAAUCGC
rnacentral:rRNA from 1 species